rnacentral:tmRNA from 1 species
GAUCGUUGUUAAACUGCAUGCGGAGAUCCCGGAAUUCUCCUAAAUCAUCCGGACAUUCAUACAUGCCGAUUACGGCUACAUGGCAGCAGCUUAAGACUACUGCCCGUCCUUUACUUAAUUUACUUGUGGUUAGGUAAAAGGGCGUCGACUACGCAAGUUGCUCUUAAUAUGCGCCCAUAGUAUUGAGAUAAGAUCUUUUGGGCUGGUUCCGCUAUUUGUUUGUCGCUGGCCAUUUGCGGAAUAAGUUCCCGCCAGGAGACUAAGCGUGUAGAUGUUUUAUGAAGAUUUAUUUCGGACGGGAGUUCGAAUCUCCCCGCCUCCACUC